rnacentral:rRNA from 1 species
UGCCAGCCGCCGCGGUAAUACGGAGGGUGCAAGCGUUGUUCGGAAUCAUUGGGCGUAAAGCGCGUGUAGGCGGCUUGGCAAGUCGGAUGUGAAAUCCCGGGGCCCAACCCCGGAACUGCAUUCGAAACUGCCUGGCUAGAGUCCCGGAGAGGAGGGCGGAAUUCCCGGUGUAGAGGUGAAAUUCGUAGAUAUCGGGAGGAACACCAGUGGCGAAGGCGGCCCUCUGGACGGUGACUGACGCUGAGACGCGAAAGCGUGGGGAGCAAACAGGAUUAGAUA